GGAAGUGUAACGUCAGCCAUGUAUGGUCUGGAACCAGUGGCCAAUUCUUACCGGUACACUGGACCAGCCCACUUUCACCUAUGGUAAGUAUGAGGUUUAUUCUAAAUAUCAGUGUUGUUAGUUUGCAGAAACAUAUUUGCAGCACAAAGACAUCAGUACGGUGGAAACAACACAGAAGGCUAAUACUGCGUUUAGAAGACAUAUAGCAAUUCUUCUAAUGAAGGAGUCAGAAAGCGUGGAGGACUACUGCAUAUACUGCAACCUUAUCGACUGUGAAAAAGAAAGUGAGGAUUGCACGAUGGUCCAGUGUGAUUCUUGCAAGAGGUGGGCACACAUACCAUGCAUUACAGAAGGAAACAAUCAAUAAAACCUGAUAUAUGAGAAGAAAG